UAGGGAAUCUUCGGCAAUGGACGGAAGUCUGACCGAGCAACGCCGCGUGAGUGAAGAAGGUUUUCGGAUCGUAAAGCUCUGUUGUUAGAGAAGAACGUUGGUAGGAGUGGAAAAUCUACCAAGUGACGGUAACUAACCAGAAAGGGACGGCUAACUACGUGCCAGCAGCCGCGGUAAUACGUAGGUCCCGAGCGUUGUCCGGACUUAUUGGGCGUAAAGCGAGCGCAGGCGGUUCUUUAAGUCUGAAGUUAAAGGCAGUGGCUUAACCAUUGUACGCAUUGGAAACUGGAGGACUUGAGUGCAGAAGGGGAGAGUGGAAUUCCAUGUGUAGCGGUGAAAUGCGUAGAUAUAUGGAGGAACACCGGUGGCGAAAGCGGCUCUCUGGUCAGUAACUGACGCUGAGGCUCGAAAGCGUGGGGAGCAAACAGG
rnacentral:rRNA from 1 species